AACGAACGCUGGCGGCAUGCCUAACACAUGCAAGUCGAACGAACCCUUCGGGGUUAGUGGCGCACGGGUGCGUAACGCGUGGGAAUCUGCCCUUUGCUUCGGAAUAACAGUUAGAAAUGACUGCUAAUACCGGAUGAUGUCUUCGGACCAAAGAUUUAUCGGCAAGGGAUGAGCCCGCGUAGGAUUAGGUAGUUGGUGGGGUAAAGGCCUACCAAGCCGACGAUCCUUAGCUGGUCUGAGAGGAUGAUCAGCCACACUGGGACUGAGACACGGACCAGACUCCUACGGGGGGCAGCAGUGGGGAAGAUUGGACAAUGGGCGCAAGCCUGAUCCAGCAAUGCCGCGUGAGUGAUGAAGGCCUUCGGGUCGUAAAGCUCUUUUACCAGGGAUGAUAAUGACAGUACCUGGAGAAUAAGCUCCGGCUAACUCCGUGCCAGCCGCCGCCGUAACAC
rnacentral:rRNA from 1 species